AGCUUUAGAUUGGAGUAGUUGUAACCAUUAGAGUUCUUGUUAUGAAUAGUUGUAACCAUACACACAUCAUCUUUUAAUUGUUCAGCAUGUUCAGAACACAACUCUAAUUGUUCAAAUUGCUUCUAUAUACUCCCAUAGAUUUGUGUUCUUGGUCAGCAAAUUAUUCAGCAGGUAACAGUACUCCAAAUACAGAUUGUUCUUGUUCAGAUUUGUUCAAAUUAUCCAUGCACACACAUAUACACAUACACACAGUUUCAGGUAACAGUAUAUCUACACCUACCGUAAUAGGAGUACAGUAUAUUCUGAACAUUACUCCUAUAUACUCCUACUGUAGGAGUAUAUCUAUAGGAUAUGUACUCCUAUAUACUGAGAGAAGAGAGAAGAGAUUGAGAGAGAAGAAAAGAGAGUAUAUAUUCCUAUAGUAAUCAGAAGAUAGAUGUGCAACAAGCAUAUAUAUUCAGCAACCACACUACUUAGAAAGCUUCAUUGCACUAAAAAGACGUCAUUCUUACUCAAGUUCAGGUUUAAGCAAUCUUAAUUAACAAGUUCAGAUUUGGUUCAGGUUUAAGCAAUCUUAAUUAAACAUGCACAGAGGCAUAGCUAAACAUGUCAUUUGAGAGAGAAGAGAAGUUAAUUCAGAAGAGAGAAGAAUACACCUACAGAUUUGGUUCAGGUUUAAGCAAUCUUAAUUAAACAUGCACAGAGGCAUAGCUAAACAUGUCAUUUGAGAGAGAAGAGAAGUUAAUUCAGAAGAGAGAAGAAUACACCUACAGAAUACUCCUAGCAGACAGCAUGCAUACAUGUACACAGAGAAAGGCAAAGCAUAUGAGAACUUAUCUUAGGAGUAGGAGUAGAUCUUGUAGAGCAGUACCCAAUGCUCCACCUGUAGAUGGUGUUGAAAAAAAAAACUUCAAGUACUCCCAAUCAGAAACUUUAAGCAUAUAUCAUGGACAGCUGAAAGUAAAUGCACAAUCAAAGGCAAAUCAACUUCUGAAAAAAAAAAGGCAAAUGCAACUCACUUCUGUAGCCUCUUCUGGAUCCUCACACUCCUCUGAAUAAAUAUUAUGUUUUCAGCAAGAACAGAUGGAGUCGUAGCAACAACAAAUGGACUAUUAGCAAAACCAGCAAAUCAGUAGAUGGACUACUAGCAAAAUCUGCACCAGAUCAUGGUGUACAUUAACAAUAAUUAUAAAGAUCACAGAGCAUAGCAAAAAUAGAAACAAAAACAAGAACAUAUUUUUUACAAAUGCUACUACUAGCAAAAUCUGCACCAGAUCAUGGAGUACUUAGAGAGCUUUCUGAAUUGAUUUGUGCACUUAAACAGUACUCCUAGCUAAGCUAGAUGAGUAUGCUAAUCUGAAUUUCUGAAUGAAUACUGCACUUCAACUAGAACAAGAACAGAGCAACGACAUCUCAGAAAAAGAAAAUAACAGGACCAAAGUACUCCUACCUAAGUGCACAGUACGUGUACAUCAUUUGAACAAGAACAGAGUACUCAUGCUAAACAAGAAUAGAGCCAACGCGCAACAAAAAUGAACAAGAACAGAGUACCUUGAGCCGUUGUUCCUCGUCCUGCCGUGGCCUGG
rnacentral:lncRNA from 1 species